rnacentral:lncRNA from 1 species
GCUGGCCCUCUUUACCUGGCCCCAUUCUCCUACCAUUGGAGCUGCCACUCUGCAGUUCCCUUAGGUUCUCCUGUGCCAUGGCGCUCCCUACCAUUCCUUUGCUCAUUUUUCCUUCAGAGCUACCUCUCUCACAGCUCUGCUAGGUCAACCUGGUGUUCAGUGCAGUUUCCUUAGGCCCUGUGAUUUUCUGGUCCUCCCUCCAUCCCUCCACAUUCAGAGCUGUAACCCUGCAACUUCCUCAGGCCCUGCUGGGCGACUGUGACUCUUCCUGCCCUCUCCUACCCUCUCAUGUUAGAGACGCCUGUAACUUGCAACUCUAACCCUGCAACUCCUCUAGGCCCUCAUGGCUUCUGAGACUCCAUUCCCAACCCUUCCCUAUGAAUAAGAUCCUUUAUGAGAGCUUGGUUCUCAUUCCACUUCUGGCUUCUACAAAAGUCCUGGCACCAGGCACCGGGACUCUUAGGUGUGGCCAGGCUGCUGAGUUGUGGUGAUGACCCACUGAACAGCUUGGUCCUCAUUUUCUUCUCCCUGAGUCUGGGGGCACCCAUGGCUCCAGGCUGCAGUGACGUUCUGCUUCCCCUCUCUCACCCAGGGCAGCAGGAUCUUUCCCACCCUCUUGUUAUCUUGGGAGGCCUCUUAGAAUCCUCCACCCUGUGCAUCUGAAACCAAACCUGAAGAUCCCUAAGUUUAUUCACCUGUCCAUGCAACAUUGGCCUCAGUGUCCCUUAGAUAAACAACAUGAAUGGCCACCCAAUGGCACCCACGAUCCUAA